GGGGGUCGGAGCGCGUGGUGGAGCCGAGGGCGGCCCGAGAGCCGCGGGCAGAGGGAAAGAUGGCCUUUAAGGGUCCCCCGUCCGACUCCGGCCGUUCCGUCGUUCUGUGUCUGUCUCUGGGGAGAUCCCACCGCGCGGCAUCUCGGUUCCCCCGUGAAAAUCUGCUGCCUGCACGGAUCCUCUCCCUGGCCUUCAGUUCCCUUAGGAGGAGCAUGGAGCGUACCGCGUGGGGUCACACCGUGCCUGGGGGCCAUCGCCCAGGGGAAAUGAUGACUGAGCGUCCUCCGUCGCUAAAUGGUUUGCGGUGAGUCUGAUCCCAGCAGCCUGCAGGCUGUGUGCUGAUGGGGUGUGUGGGUGUGGGAAGCCCUGCAGCCCCGGGGUGUCUCUGCACGUGCCCUGCUCAGCUCACACCUGCCCUGCCCUGUGCUGCCCGCAUCCACGGAACGAGCUAUAGAAGCCUGAGCUGUCCCCUGUCUUCUGGCAUGAUCCUGGAGCGCUGAAGAGAAGAGCUUAACUUGCAAAGUUACACUGACAUUGUGAGCCUUGCAUACCUAAUAAACCAUGGCUUCUUUAAC
rnacentral:lncRNA from 7 species